UACGUAGGGGGCAAGCGUUGGUCCGGAAUCAUUGGGCGUAAAGAGCGUGUAGGCGGCCCGGUAAGUCCGCUGUGAAAGUCCAGGGCUCAACCCUGGGAUGCCGGUGGAUACUGUCGGGCUCGAGUCCGGAAGAGGAGUGUGGAAUUCCUGGUGUAGCGGUGAAAUGCGCAGAUAUCAGGAGGAACACCGAUGGCGAAGGCAGCUCGGCUGGGACG
rnacentral:rRNA from 1 species